rnacentral:ncRNA from 1 species
UUAAAGUUUUAUUUUGGUUUAAGAAUUAAUUAUUAUUAUUUAUUUUAUGUAAAUUAUAUUUAAUAAGAAUUUACAGUAAUUAGAUUUAAUUAUUAAAGAAAUUUAGAAUUAGGAAAUAUAUUAAGUAUUAACAAAAUUUGUGCCAGCAGUUGCGGUUAUACAAAUAAUACAAUUUAAUUUUAUUAAUAUUAAUUAAUUUGAAUUAUAAUUUUAAAAAAAAAUUUAUUAGGUGAAAUUUUAAAUUUUUAAAAAAAUUGUUUAUUUAUAAUGAAGUUAAAAAAUUUUUAUUAUAGACUAGGAUUAGAUACCCUAUUAUUUAAAAAGUAAUUAUUUUAUUUAAUUAGUAUUAGUUAUGUUCUUAAAAAUUAAAAAUUUUGGCGGUAUUUUAGUCUUUUCAGAGGAACCUGUUCUAUAAGUGAUAAUCCACGAUUUAAUUUACUUUUUUUAUUAAUUUAUAUAUCGUCGUAAUAAAAUAUUUUUAUAGAAUUUUAAUAUUUAAGAUUUUUUAUUAAAAAAUUAAUCAGAUCAAGGUGUAGUUUAUAAAAAAGUAGAAAUGGGUUACAUUUAAUUUAUUAUUGGAUUAUUAGUAUUAUUAUUAAUAUGAAUUUGGAUUUGAAAGUAAAAUUAUUUAAUUUAUUAAUUUGAUUUAGCUCUAAAAUAUGUACAUAUCGCCCGUCGCUUUCGUUUAAUAUGAAAUAAGUCGUAACAAAGUAGAUUUACUGGAAAGUGAAUCUAGAAUCAA